rnacentral:rRNA from 1 species
UGCUUCCCUACGGGGGGCAGCAGUGGGGGAUAUUGCACAAUGGGGGAAACCCUGAUGCAGCGCCGCCGCGUGGGUGAAGAAGCGCCUCGGCGCGUAAAGCCCUGUCAGCAGGGAAGAAAAUGACGGUACCUGAAGAAGAAGCCCCGGCUAACUACGUGCCAGCAGCCGCGGUAAUACGUAGGGGGCAAGCGUUAUCCGGAUUUACUGGGUGUAAAGGGGGCGCAGACGGCGAUGCAAGCCAGGAGGGAAAGCCC